rnacentral:lncRNA from 1 species
CAAUUCUGCAACACUAAAGUCCCACCUUCAAGCUGACACAGACUGUCCCAAUAGCAGGCAGGCCAGGAGAGGUCUUGCCUCUCUUCAUGUUUCAGAUUAUGACAAACUAGGCAAUGGAACUAUGUCUGGAGCCUGCUUCUCCCAAACACUCCUCACGAACGUCCUUACAACAGAUUUUCCAGGAACAAAGCCAAAGAAAAAGGGUGAUUUAAAAAAAAAUUUUUUUUUAAAAAUAAUGUGACCAAGCUCCUUGUAUCAGUUUAAGCAGGACUAGCAAUGCUAUAUUUUGUUCUUACUCUCAAUACUAGCAAUUAUUAAUUUAAGAAUUGUUAAAGUAUAAAAGCAAAUAAGUAUAAUCCCACUUUAUAUUCUUUAAUAAUGAAGAAAGUUAACUGAAAAAUAAUUUAGAUAUCUUUGUGUGUGUGUGUGUUUUAUUUUUCUUUAGAAAAUUGUUCACUUUUGUAGAUUCCCUGAGCU